rnacentral:lncRNA from 1 species
ACUCAGUCACCAAGCUAUUUAUUUAAAUGCCUUGAAACGAACAAACAGGAGCUGAGGCAGAGAGCAACUGAAUGGAGAGCAGCCUUGUUACAAAAGCUGGGGGUGGGGAGCUGUCAGGAAAAGGCCCAUCUGAGGGGAUACUUUGAAACUGAGACACCACCACCCUCAAGGGUAAGAAUUGGCAGCCUUGUUCUCUGUGACUAUCCAUUCUCAGUGUUGAUGGGCAUCAUCAUGGCUCGAGCUGAGCCUACUCUGAAUGAAGCUGUUUUUAUCUUCUGGAGGUGGCCAGGUCAAACA